AGGAUGAACGCUAGCGACAGGCUUAACACAUGCAAGUCGAGGGGCAGCGGGGGCGUAGCAAUAUGCCUGCCGGCGACCGGCGCACGGGUGAGUAACACGUAUGUAACCUGCCCUAUGCAGGGGGAUAACCCGGAGAAAUCCGGCCUAAUACCGCGUAACACCUUAGGGGAGCAUUCUCUUGAGGUUAAAGGAGAGAUCCGGCAUAGGAUGGACAUGCGUCGCAUUAGGUAGACGGCGGGGUAACGGCCCACCGUGCCGACGAUGCGUAGGGGUUCUGAGAGGAAGGCCCCCCACACUGGUACUGAGACACGGACCAGACUCCUACGGGAGGCAGCAGUGAGGAAUAUUGGUCAAUGGCCGAGAGGCUGAACCAGCCAAGUCGCGUGAGGGAAGAAUGUCCUAAGGAUUGUAAACCUCUUUUGUCGGGGAGCAAAAAGGCUCUGCGGAGUCGUAUUGAGAGUACCCGAAGAAAAAGCAUCGGCUAACUCCGUGCCAGCAGCCGCGGUAAUACGGAGGAUGCGAGCGUUAUCCGGAUUUAUUGGGUUUAAAGGGUGCGCAGGCGGCGUGUCAAGCAAGCGGUAAAAUAGCGGGGCUCAACCCCGUCGAGCCGUUUGAACUGGCGCGCUUGAGUUCAGGCGAGGUAGGCGGAAUUCGUGGUGUAGCGGUGAAAUGCAUAGAUAUCACGAAGAACUCCGAUUGCGAAGGCAGCUUACCAGUCUGCGACUGACGCUCAGGCACGAAAGUGUGGGUAUCGAACAGGAUUAGAUACCCUGGUAGUCCACACAGUAAACGAUGAGCGCUAGGUGUCCGGGUCGCAUGAGACUUGGGUGCCCGAGCGAAAGCGUUAAGCGCUCCACCUGGGGAGUACGCCGGCAACGGUGAAACUCAAAGGAAUUGACGGGGGCCCGCACAAGCGGAGGAACAUGUGGUUUAAUUCGAUGAUACGCGAGGAACCUUACCCGGGCUCAAACGACUCAGGAAUAUAUUGGAAACGAUGUAGCCAGCAAUGGUCUGAGUCGAGGUGCUGCAUGGUUGUCGUCAGCUCGUGCCGUGAGGUGUCGGCUUAAGUGCCAUAACGAGCGCAACCCCUACCGCCAGUUGCCAACGGGUAAAGCCGGGAACUCUGGCGGGACUGCCGGCGCAAGCUGUGAGGAAGGCGGGGAUGACGUCAAAUCAGCACGGCCCUUACGUCCGGGGCGACACACGUGUUACAAUGGCAGGUACAGCGGGAAGCCACCUGGUGACAGGGAGCGGAACCCGAAAGCCUGUCUCAGUUCGGAUUGGAGUCUGCAACUCGACUCCAUGAAGCUGGAUUGCUAGUAAUCGCGCAUCAGCCAUGGCGCGGUGAAUACGUUCCCGGGCCUUGCACACACCGCCCGUCAAG
rnacentral:rRNA from 1 species